UUCAGCUUGGAAGCAGCUGAUGUGAUUCCCCACUCCUGAGCAGCUGCCCCGUGCGCAGCAGUAAUUUACAGCAGCCGCUACUCUAACGAGGAGGAAGUUGCAAUUUGUAGAGCAAUAAAUACCGAGGCGGUGGGAGGAGCCCCAGGCAGAAAAAUCGCCCUCCUUCUCCAAUUAAAACUCCAUCUUGGCUCCACUGCGGACCGUGAGAAGGUCUCAAAGAAAACACGGUGGCCCCGAUAAGAUAUUCUUCUCACUGAGAAGUGCUAUAUGGUCUCCUCUAGAUGAGAUGUCUGACUAGGAAGGACAGGUGCCAAACCAGAGCAGCAGAAGCAGACAGUGUGAAACUCAGUGAUGCUACUGCCAUCUCCAGCUGUCUUCCUCUCAUGCUCCCCCACAUGCAGCUAGCUUGGAUAGUGGUCAAACCACUGCAACAUUCCCAUGCAACUAAGGCCUUAAAAAGGAUUUUAAAGAUAAAUAUCUCAGUUAAAUACUUAAGCUGCAGCCUGAACCCUAUUGAAGUCAUUGAGACAGGAGAGCAUGCUGCCAGUAAGAUACACUCUGAAGUGUCUUUGUGAAUCAGUAGCUUCAUUCUGCUGUAAGGAACAAGCCUCCAUUUCAGUGAGAGUCAUCUUGGAUCAUGGUGCCUUCUUAUAGAUCUCUGCCAGCUACAAAGCCUCCAAGGGAGAGCACAGUGCUAUAAAGGCCUGGCUGUAGGAGAGUGCUGCAGGAAGCUGGAGAGGGCAGAUUCUCAUCUAUACAUUCAA